rnacentral:sRNA from 1 species
AUGGAAGAGAAUUUGGGGAAUCUUAAAGGCCUAAAGGAACUAGACAUGAGUGGUACUAGUAUAAGAGAUCUACCAUUAUCGAUGGAGCAAUUAUCUAGGCUUAUCAAAUUGGAUCUAAAAAAUUGCAAAAAUCUUUCAAGCCUUCCUGGAGCCAUUUGUAGUUUGACAACUCUAAAAUCUCUCACUCUAUCUGGUUGCUUAAAACUUGACAAUAUGCCAAUGAAUUUGGGGAAUCUAGAAGGCCUAGAGGAACUUGAUGUGAGUGGAACUGCUAUAAGAGAGGCACCUUCCUCCAUCUUUUGCUUAAAAAAUCUCAAAAUACUAUCUUUCGAAGGAUGUAAAGGGCUGUCAUCUAAAUCAUGGUCAUGGAAGAAGUCGCUUAAUUUUCUGUUAAUGACAAAAACUCCAGAUCUCAUGGGCUUGGUAUUGCCUUCUGUAUCAGGUUUGUGUUCAUUAACUAGAUUGAAUAUAAGGAACUGUAAUCUUCAAGCAAUCCCUAGUGAUAUUGGCUGUUUGUCCUCAUUAGAAGAAUUAGAUCUAAGUGAAAAUAACUUUGUUUGCCUUCCGGAAAGCAUUAAUCAACUAUCUAAGUUGCAAAGAUUUUGGGUGGAGAAUUGCAAGAGACUUCAAUUGUUGCCGGAGCUUGGAUUGAGUUGUUCCGUUGAAGUUAUGGCAAAUGGAUGUAUUUCAUUGGAAUCUGUACUACCAUUUAAAAUGAAAGGUAGUCCAGGAAAUUAUUUGCAUCUUCUCAAUUGUUUCCAAUUUGUUGAAAAUCGAAGCCGCUGUGACAUGUUCACUACAAUACUAAGAGAAUAUUUACAGGUUUCUCCCUCAGCCAGCUUUAAAGAUCAUGGUUUUUUUUUUUUUUUUUUUGAGACAUGGUUGAUUUUUAUGUUUCAGGAAUUGUACUAUCAAGAAUCAACUAAAGAAGGAAGAUUUGAUGUUGUUAUUCCUGGAAGUGAAGUUCCAAACUGGUUUAGGGAUCAGAGUGUGGGGGAUUCAAUAAAUCUAGAAGUGCCUUCAGAUUUAUUUAAACAAUUUAGAGGAAUUGUUGUCUGCGUUGUUUUUGGACCCCACCAGCAUCGUCCACGUAAUCCUUAUCAUGACAUUGUCCUUGGGAGUGGCUUUUAUGCCAAUGGAAAAAUAAUCAACACUGGUGGUCCAUGCAUAUCGUUUUCGAAAGAGUUUAAUAAGGUUGAAUCAGAUCAUCGUUGGUUCAUGUAUUUGCUCCCUAAUUUUUUCCCAAAAGAAUUUCUUCAAAAAGCUGAUGGAUCCAGCUUUCAACUUGCGAUUGGAUUCGAUUCCUUUGAUCCAGAGAUAAAGAAAUGUGGAGCCCAUAUGAUAUACGAGGAAGAAAUGGAAGAUCUGAAACAAAGCAUGGGUCAAAGUGAGUGCAACAGCAGCAUAAUUCCUUAUAAUGAGGGUGUAGAUCAUUUUGAAGAGGAUAUCAAAAGUAAGCGAAGUCGUGAUGAUGAGAAUGGAGCUAGUGGAGAAGGUGGCUCUAGUCACAUACCACACCCUAAGACUAAGAGAGUACGACCCUCUGAUGGUGAGUGAGGACUCCGUCAAAAAUCAAAUGGUGGCUUUCAGGAAUCUGGACCCUCUUUAUUUGAACUCUUUGUAAGUCACCAACUCCCCCUCUUACAAUUUUUUUUUUAUUUUUAAUAAAACUACUUCACAAAUGCCAUUUUCAGGAAUUUAUUGUGGUACUCAUUAUUGAACACUACGGACAUUAAUAACUCAAUUGGACUUUAUGAGUAUUGCUUAUUACUAAUGCUUAAAAAAAAUCUAAUCCAAUAAUUUUAUUUUAUUACUAUUGCUUAUUGUGUUUACCUUUAUGAUUAUGAUGUGGAGCAAGUAUUUAUGUUAUUAGCGUAGUAUUAAGUAUUUAUGUUGUGGACAUAUUAUUUCUCUAAGUAUUAACGCAUAUACAAGAAUGAGUAGUAAUUAACUAAUUAUUUAAAUCUUUCUCAAAAAACAAAAAAACUAAUUGUGGGUACCCGAGGCCCGAGGAGGAAUGGGAAAAGCCAGGUAUCGGGCCGAGCGUAACACUAGCAGAGGCCCAAAGAACAGUAGUGCCUGAGGAAUGAGCCAGAUCCAUUGGAGCAUCGCACCAAGCGCCAAAGGAAAAACAGCAGAGCUGAAGGAGGUGGAGGUCAGUGGCAGACAGGAAGCCGCCAGGGCAGCGGCCCCUGUCACAUCAAUAUUAAAUGGCGCACACUAGUUCUGUCAGCCGCAUUAAAUAGGGAAGUGACCUGAACAGUGUCGGCCACAGCUACGCCAGCUACCGCUACCACCUGCAUUAGAGAGAAAAGGUGACAGGUGUUGGAAGGGGGACGAAAGCCAGGUAGAGAUGGACGGAGAGGAUGAAAUGGCAACGGGCUAUAUAAAGGGAGGUCUGGAAUUCUGCAAAGGGACUUUUUGGGUGGGGGGUGAAGUGAGAAAACAGAGUGGAGAGCUAUUAGGGAGAGUAGUUCAGAGACUUAGAGUGAGAGAAAACUCGUGAGCAGACUCCAAGCUUGUUGUGCUAUUCCAUCUCUUAUAAAUUUUAUUGGCUUGGACCAAAGUUUAAACUAGAUUGUCCUAUUACACUUGGUGGGCUUUGUAUCACGAACAUUUUGGUCCUUACAAUUGGCACCAUCUAUGGGAACAGCAAGCGCCUGUGAAUCUGUCUCGAGUGGCGAUGGCAAACGAAGGUCGGGAUGAGGAAAGGUCGGUUGGAUUACAAAAGGAGGACCCUUUCCUUAACUUGAAGCACAGGAGGAAUAGGCGGUGGGCCCCCAGUGCGGCAGGAGGGUCACGUCACUCUGGGCGAGCUGAGCAAAAUUGCCCCCGGCACGAGAAUCAAGCCUCGCAUGGGUAAGAGACAUUAGCGGUACAAAGAGAGGUUGAUCGCUUGCCCAGGAAGCUGAGAUGAAGAAAACGCGAUAGGAGGAGCUUGUCCCCCGUAUUGAGUGAGGAUUCAUAGGGAAGCCUGGACCGACUGUACCAACGCAGGUCCAGGACCUCGCCCAGUGAAACCUUCUCAGCCUCUUCAUGUUGGGACAGGCCAGACAAGGGCGACCGUAGGCGCGAAAGGGUACCCUCUCGUCACUCCAGGGGAAACGAUGCUAUGAGUAAGGCCCUAAGACAAAUCUCCAAUUCCCCUUUCGCUAGGAGGAUUAACAAGGCUAAGCUUCCUCACCGUUUCUCCCCACCAACGUUCACCUUAUACAACGGCAGAAUGGACCCUGUGGAGCAUGUUAGUCACUUCAAUCAGAAGAUAGCCGUACACACUAGCAACGAAGCACUCAUGUGUAAGGUUUUCCCUUCUAGCCUUGGGCCUGUGGCCAUGCGUUGGUUCAAUGCAUUGGACAAGGGGUCCAUAGGGUCCUUUCAGGAGCUAACCAGGGCAUUCGGCGCUAGGUUCAUAACCUGCAGCAGGGCCCCCAGGCCGUUGGACGCCUUGCUAUCCAUGGCUAUGAGAGAGGGGGAGACCCUCAAGACCUAUGCGGACCGGUAUUGGGAGAUGUACAAUGAGGUGGACGAUGAUUUCGAAGAUGUCGUAGUGAGGACCUUCAAAGUCGGCCUUCCAACUGAACACAACUUGAGAAAAUCACUGACGAUGAAGUCCGCCUCGAACAUGCACCAACUCAUGGAACGCAUAGAGACAUACAAGAGGUUGGAGGAGGACCAAAUGCAAGGAAAUGGCAAAGCUAAAGUGUACCCCGAGAAAAGAGAUCCUCGGGAAGGAGGAUACCAAAAUGACUGACCACAAAGGGAAUUCCCCGGCCGUUCGGCCUCCGAAGGGGUUCACAUGGUCAACUCGCUAUUCAAAGAACCAGUGCACCAGAUACUAGAAAAGAUAAAGGAUAAGCCAUUCUUCAAAUGGCCAAACAAGAUGGGCGAGGAUCCGACCAGGAGAAGCCAAAGCUUCUAUUGCCAUUAUCAUCGAGACAAGGGCCACGCGACAGAAGAUUGCAGGACAUUGCAAGACCACUUAAGCCAACUGGCAAAGGCUGGGAAACUUGGCCACUUCUUGCAUCAACCUGCGGGGCAGACUGGGCACUCAGGAAUGGGAUUGCACGGAAACGAUCAUUCAUGCCCUGCCUUGGUCACCAUUAACAUGAUUCUGUCCGGACCAGGAAGUGGCACCAGGCUGAAUCCCCAGGUCCUGUCUGUAGUGGGGAGUUCGCACUCAAAGGUUGGAGAGUGGCAUCAUAAAAGACCAAGGGCGAUGAUCCCCGACCUGAGUUUCUCCGAGGAGGACAAGUGGGGAGCCCAACAACCACACGAGGACGCUCUGGUAGUCACUGUGAAAAUCGGGGGCUACAACAUCAAAAGUGUACUAGUUGACCAGGGAAGUCAAGUUGAGGUGAUGUACCCCGACUUAUACCGAAGGCUAAGGCUAAAGCCCGAGGACCUGGAUGCAUGUCACUCUCCGCUCAUGGGUUUCGACGGCAAAAUGGUGGUUCCCCGAGGAAAGAUUAAGCUGCCCGUACAAAUUGACGUUGUUGAAGUUCAGGUGGAUUUCAUAGUAGUAGAAGCAUUUUCCCCAUACAUCGCCAUCCUCGGCAAACCCUAGCUGCACGCCAUAGGAGCUGUCCCCUUGACCCUGCACCUUAAGAUCAAGUAUCCCACUGGAGGGGGAGUGGGGGAACUAGUGGGGGAUCAAGCCAUGGCCCGGCAAUGCCUAGUAACGGCAGUUACGCGGUAUUCGCCUAAUCCGGCCUCUAGUGAUAAAGAUAUGGUCCAAUAGCAAUUAAAGGAGGCUGCCGACGAGCAGCCGAUUGAGGUGUCGAAGGAGUCCUCCGAGGAGUUGGAGAAAGUACUAGUAGGAGCAAGUGAAGAGCAAUAUCUCCAGAUAGGAUCGCAAUUGCACCCCAAAGAGAAAUCGAGGUUGGUGGAAUUCCUGAAAACAAACAUGGACGUGUUCGCCUAGGAUGCAAGCAACAUCCCUAGGAUUAGCCCCGAGCUGGCGUGCCAUCACUUGAACGUGAACCCUGAGGCGACGCCACGUAAACAACCUCCUCGGUGGUCAUCUGAUAUUCAUGUCGAGGCGGUCAGAACGGAAGUGAGUAGGUUGAAACAGGCUGGAGCAAUUAGGGAAAUCUUUUAUCCGGAAUGGCUGGCCAACACUGUAGUGGUAAAGAAGAAAAGUGGGAAGUGGCGGGUAUGCGUGGAUUUUACGGACCUCAAUAAAGCCUGCUCGAAAGACCCUUUUCUCAUUCCCAGGAUAGAUCAAUUGGUGGACGCCACGGUGGGGCAUUCGCGGAUGAGCUUUCUGGACGCAUUCCAGGGCUAUCAUCAAAUAUCGCUGUCCUUAACUGACCAGGAGAAAACGGCUUUCUGUUCUCCCACUGGUAACUUCCAUUAUCGUGUGAUGCCCUUCGGCCUCAAAAACGCCGGCUCAACCUAUCAGAGAAUGAUUACUCGCAUGUUUGAAAAACAGCUCGGGAGAAACAUGGAGGCGUACAUAGACGAUAUGGUGGUCAAAAGUAAAAAGGCCAAGAACCACCUUGACGAUCUGGCAGAGACCUUCGUGGUGCUCAGGGAGCACAAGCUACGGCUCAACGCAUCCAAGUGCUCUUUUGGGGUAAGCUCGGGCAAAUUCCUAGGGUACAUGAUUACUCAUCAGGGGAUCGAAGUUAACCCGGAACAGAUUAGGGCUAUCAACAGCCUGCACCCCCCCCCUCCGAAACCCAAAGGAAGUACAGAAGCUGGCUGGAAUGACGACAACACUGAGCAGGUUCAUCUCUCGGUCCGCAGACAGAUGUUGCCCUUUCUUCCAAUUGCUGCAUAAAUGGAAGGACUUCCAGUGGACCAAAGAGUGCACCUGAGCAUUUGAGGACCUAAAGGCAUACUUGUCCAACCCACCAAUCCUAUCUCGACCCAACAAGGAGGAAGUGCUCUAUGCCUAUCUGGCGGUAACGAGGCACUCCGUUAGCUUUGUCUUGAUCAGGAAUGAGGACGGGCCCCAGAAGCCCGUUUAUUACAUCAACAAGUCCUUGCAAGAGGUGGAGACACGUUAUCUCCCUUUGGAGAAAGCAGUGCUAGCCAUUGUGCAUGCGGCUAGAAAACUCCCUCAUUAUUUCCAAGCCCACACGAUGGCAGUGCUAACUCAGCUACCAUUGCAGGCCUUGCUGAGGAAGUCCGACUACACGAGCAGGAUUGCCAAAUGGGCAGCAAAGUUAGGGGCUUACAAUGUUAAGUAUUUUUCCCGCACAGCUAUAAAGGGGCAAGUCUUAGCAGACUUUAUAGCGGAGUUCGCCGAGGGUGUCUAUGAGGAGGAGAGCAUAGCCACGAGCCUGAUGGUCUCAUCAACUUCCAUCGCCUCCGUAUGGAGAGUUUAUGUAGAUGGGGCCUCCAAUUGAAAGGGAGCAGGGGUGGGAAUAGUGCUGAUUACGCCCAAGAAGCUAAUAAUAGAAAAGUUGUUGCGACUAGGCUUCCUGGCCACCAACAAUGAGGCUGAAUACGAAGCCCUGCUGGGGGGAAUAAACCUGGUCAGACUGCUCGGGGGAAGGAUGGUAGAGGUGUAUUCGGAUUCUAGGUUAAUUGUUGGCACGAUCAAUGGGGAGUUCGAAGCCCGAGAUGAAAGGAUGCAGAAGUAUCUUACCAGGGUGCAAAGUGCACGGAAUCAUUUCGAUGAUUUCAAGUUGGAGCAAAUCCCAAGGGGGCAGAACUAGCAUGCUGACUCCCUAGUCAUGCUGGCCACUUCGUUAGAAUCAAACCUUCCUCGGGCCGUUUUGGUAGAAGAAGUCAGCACCCCUACUCUUACGGAGACACCUUUGGUGGGGGUGUGUAGUGUCCAUGUGGGCCCAAGCUGGAUGGACCCCAUUGUGACCUUCUUGAAGGGGGGACCCUUGCCAGAGAACAAAGGUGAGGCGGAGAAGAUACGCAGAACUGCCCCCCGCUACUGGUUGUCCAAGCAGCAUAAGCUAUAUAAGCGCUUAUACUUGGGACCGUAUCUACUGUGCGUACACCCGGAGGCCGUGGAGCCUCUGCUCGAGGAGUUACAUGAGGGCAUCUACGGGAGCCACACUGGCGGGAGAUCCUUGGCACACAGGGCCCUCACAUAGGGAUACUGGUGGCCCAAAUGCACCAAACCUCCCAGGACUAUGUCAAGCGAUGUGAUCAAUGCCAGAGGUUCACCCCUAACAUACACCAGCAAGGAGGAAUCCUGAAUCCUUUGUCUAGCCCUUGGCCUUUCGCCUAGUGGGGCCUGGACAUAGUAGGUCCAUUUCCUCAGGCCCCAGGGAACCGAAAAUGGCUCUUCGUCGGCACAGACUACUUCACCAAGUGGGUUGAAGCCGAGUCCCUCGCCAACAUUAGAGACAUUGACGCCAAGAAAUUCGUCUAGAAGAACAUCGUCACCAGAUUUGGGGUACCGCACACCCUGAUUUCGGACAAUGGGCUUCAGUUUGAUAGCAAGUCUUUCAGAAGAUACUGUGGAGAAUCGGGAAUCAGGAAUGGGUACUCCACGCCAGCAUACCCCUAGGGAAAUGGACAAGCCGAGGCCACCAAUAAGGUCAUAGUAGCCAGGCUCAAGAAGAGGCUGGACGAUGCCAAAGGAAGAUAGGUUGAUGAGCUGCCCCACGUGCUGUGGACCUACCGCACCACGCCUCGGAAGUCAACAGGGGAAACCCCAUUUUCAUUGACAUAUGGUUCAGAGGCGGUAAUCCCUCUAGAGGCCGAAUUUCCCACUUUAAGAACAGAACAGUUCAACACGAGGGAAACCUUCAGCUACUCCUAGACAGCUUUGACUUGACCGAAGAAAGACGAGAGGUAGACACGGUAAAAAUGGCCCACUACCAGCAGAAGCUUAGGCAGGAGUAUGAUAAAGGGAUUAAGCACAGACCACUGGCCCCGGGAGAUUUGGUUUUGAGGAAGAUAGUGGGGACAGCCAGGCCCCCAUCUUGGGGCAAGCUGGGCCCCAACUGGGAAGGACCAUAUAGAAUCACCUCUGUAGCAGGAAUCAAGGCCUACCGAUUGGAGGACCUAGAUGGAAAUGUAAUCCCUCAUCCGUGGAAUGUAAACAAUUUGCGACGAUAUUACUUUUAAUAGAAAUCGCAGCCGUUGCAUCUUGCUCUACUUUGUCAAAAAUUCUAAGCGUUAAACAGAACCUCAGACUUGCCUGGCUCCUCGGCCAUAAGCUAUGGGUAAAUUAACAUUGCAAGGAAAAUUCUAAGUGUUAAACAGUACCUAGAACUUGCCUGGCUCCUCGGCCACAAGCUAUGGGUAAAUUAACAUUGCAAGAAAAAUUCUAAGUGUUAAACAGAACCUCGGACUUGCCUGACUCCUCGAUCACAAGCUUAAAGUAAAUUAACAUUGCAAGAAAAAUUCUAAGUGUUAAAUAAAACCUAGGACUUGCCUGGCUCCUCGGCCACAAGUUUAGGGUAAAUUAACAUUGCAAGAAAAAUUCUAAGUGUUAAACAGAACCUAGGACUUGCCUGACUCCUCGGCCACAAGCUAUAGGUAAAUUAACAUUGCAAGAAAAAUUCUAAGUGUUAAACAGAACCUAGGACUUGCCUGGCUCCUCGGCCACAAGCUAAAGGUAAAUUAACGUUGCAAGAAAAAUUCUAAGUGUUAAACAGAACCUCGGACUUGCCUGGCUCCUUGGCCACAAGCUUAGGGUAAAUUAAUGUUGCAAGAAAAAUUCUAAGUGUUAAACAGAACCUCGGACUUGCCUGACUCCUCGGCCACAAGCUAUGGGUAAAUUAACAUUGCAAGAAAAAUUCUAAGUGUUAAACAAAACCUAGGACUUGCCUGACUCCUCGGCUACAAGUUUAGGGCAAAUUAACAUUGCAAGAAAAAUUCUAAGUGUUAAAAAGAACCUAGGAUUUUCCUGGCUCCUCGGCCACAAGCUUAGGGUAAAUUAACAUUGCAAGAAAAAUUCUAAGUGUUAAACAGAACCUAAGACUUGCCUGGCUCCUCGGCCACAAGCUAUAGGUAAAUUAACAUUGCAAGAAAAAUUCUAAGUGUUAAACAGAACCUAGGACUUGCUUGACUCCUCAGCCACAAGCUAAGGGUAAAUUAACGUUGCAUGAAAAAUUCUAAGUGUUAAACAGAACUUCGGACUUGCCUGGCUCCUCGGCCACAAGCUUAGGGUAAAUUAACGUUGCAAGAAAAAUUCUAAGUGUUAAGCAGAACCUCGGACUUGCUUGGCUCCUCGGCCACAAGCUUAGGGUAAAUUAACAUUGCAAGAAAAUUUCUAAGUGUUAAACAGAACCUAGGACUUGCCUGGCUCUUCGGCCACAAGCUAAGGGUAAAUUAACGUUGCAAGAAAAAUUCUAAGUGUUAAACAGAACUUCGGACUUGCCUGGCUCCUCGGCCACAAGCUUAGGGUAAAUUAACGUUGCAAGAAAAAUUCUAAGUGUUAAGCAGAACCUCGGACUUGCCAGGCUCCUCGACCAUAAGCUUAGGGUAAAUUAACGUUGCAAGAAAAAUUCCAAGUGUUAAACAGAAUCUCGGACUUGCUGGCUCCUCGGCCACAAGCUUAGGGUAAAUUAACAUUGCAAGAAAAAUUUUUAGUGUUAAACAGAAGUUAGGUUCUGCCUAUCUCCUUGGUCACAAGGUCAGGGUAAAUUAGCAACAAAAANGGGGGGGGGGGGGGGGGGGGAAUGUACAUAUACAUAUAAAUAAAACUGAUGCCCUCAAAAAUCUUAAGUGUUCAUUGUAAAAGCUGGUUACAAAAGAAGAGGGGAUCGGGCUCAACAUGGACGAGGCCCCAUUUACAAAAAAUUGCUACAUAUGUGCUGCCCUAUUACAAAAAUUCCACAAGGAAAAUGUUUUCAUAAGAAAGCUAAGCCUGGGGCUCCUUGUCCUUGGCAUUCUUCUCUUUCUUAUCCUUCUUCUUCUUUGUGGGCAUCCCCUCAAGUACCCCCUUCUCAGCCUCCAAGUCCACCAUGUCCUCAUGAGGCGGUAACCCUUUGGCUGAAGCAGGAGAAGGGAGCGGAUCCUAGGGCUCGACAGAGGCAGCAGGAGCGGAGCUUGGAUCCACAGGAGGGCUAGGGGCUGAAAGGGCCAGGCGCAGAGCAGGGGGAUAAUACACUUGGUCAGAAUUUCGCAGCUUUAAGUCAGGGCUGAUACCUGCAACAUUUAAAGCCUCCCUCCACACCUCCUGGCAGAAAGCACGAGAACGUCACGAAGCUGGGCAGUGAGACUUGCAGUAGUAUUGUUCAUGCCCACAUCGUAGGCUGCCUGCUCGGCCUGUGCUUUCUCCGAUUCCUUGGCCACUAGCUACUGGUUUGCCUGUUUCAGCUCCACCACAGUAAGCGCCAGGGUGCUCUCAGCCUUUCUCUGAGCUUCCAAGGCAUCGAAGGCCUGCUUCUCAUAGCCCUUUAGGGCAGACUCAGCGUUGCGGUAGGCCUUAUCCGCCUCUGAUAGCUGGGAAAGGGUCUCCAUCAGCUUUUUCUCCGCCUCGGCCCUAGCCUUCUCAGCAUUUUCAUAGGCCUUCUCAAACUUCCUAGCCACGUCUAAAAAGUGAUCAACCCACUCUUCCGGCAUGAAGGCAGCCUGAACGGCCUGCGAGAAUGGAAAACAAAAGAAAUUGAAUAGGCAAUUAAUAAAUAAAUAAAUAAAAAACACUUGACAAAUGAAGAAGUUGGCCGAGGUACCUUGGCGAGAUCCUGCUUCAGGGAGAGGAAGACCUCUAUUUUUCGGAAGGAUUUCAGCUCCUCCAUGUCCUUGGGAAGGCAUAGCGCCCUCCCCAGGCAUUCUGUUACCAGGCCCGAGCUACCCUUUGAGGGAUCUCUCAAGUUGGCAUCAUCCAGCACAGGAGCGCUCGAGCUGAAGGUGAAAGUGGGCCUCCAAGCGGAAGCUUUCUUGGCCUGGUCCCCGCCACUCUCCUUUGAGGACACAGUAUGGUCAGGCCUCUUCCUCGGUUGACCUUUACCAGCCCGGGCCUCCUUAGUUGGGGGCUCAGAUAUUUCCCCCUCCUCUGACACAUCUACCCCCUUUCCCCCUAGGCCGCGUUUCUGUUUCUUAUCUGCCGCAUCGGCCGGGGACGUGCGAGUAGUGGCAAGGGUCGGUGGGCAAGGAGGUACUGUCACCACCAAGGAGGACCCCCGGCAUGGGCCGACAACAGUGCUAGGAGGUCGGGGGUCCUUUCUUCGAAGCCCAUAGCUACUGAUGAUGGGGCUUGUGAAACACUCGGAGCGUCGGAAUGAUAGAAAACUUCAAAGUCUCUAUCUGUUACCUCUCGGACAGAAGUGGAUGUGGAUCCCUCCGCCUCUUUGUUGGAAGGCAGUGGAGGUUCCUGGGAGUACAAGAGCUGAGCAGCUAGAGGCGCAGGGAGCUGGGCGACUUGUGUCCCCUCGGGAGGCGGUUCAGUCAGCAAGAACCCUGGGAUGGCAACGUCUAUCAGGGCUAAACAUGAGUCACGGGCCUUGAUGACGUUCUUCGGACUCUGAAAGCAUUUGGUUGAAGGUUUGUAGCCAAGGAUGACAUGCGCUGCCCAGAGUUGCCCGUCUCGGUGAAGGAAUAUCUCGGACCUAAGAAUUCGAUUCAGGUCGCAAAAAUUCACCAGAUGUUUUGCCGGGGCGGUGUGAUACUCGUCUGCCAUAAGAAAGCAUGGUUAUUGUUAGCAAAGGGAUAAAAAAGAAACAAAAAACUACCACACAAAAAAAGGAAGCUCCUCUAAAAGGCCUAAAACGAUAACCCAGGUCCUCGGGAAUGCUACCUGGUUCCCCUUCCUAGGUGGGACAGUGCCGCCCAUCGUGCCACUCACCCGAGACAAGAAGGUAGUCUUCGUCCAUGCCCUUGCUUGAAUCGGGUAGGCAGGAGAUUAACCUAACUGCGGGGACCCUACUCUUCAUAUAGUAUUUGGUUUUCUCCCCCUUCUGGCAGUUAUAGACCCAGUUCACGUCAUGCCAUGUAAGGUGAGUCCCCAUUCUACGAUUAAUGGCCUCUACGCACCCGAGGAAUCUAAAGAUGUUGGGGGAACACUGGGUCGGGGUUAACCUAUAAUUUAUGAGGUAGUCCCUAGUCACUAGGCCUAUGGGAAGUUCCAUCCCACCCUCAAUAAAGGCGAUCAUGGGAAUUACCACGGACUCAGGAGGCUGAUUCAAAACCAACCAUUCGCCUUCCUCACAAUGCCUAAAUUCUAUGUUGUCGGGAAUCCUGUACUGGGCCCUAAAAGCUAUCCUAGCCGCCUCGGAGCCUACUAACCUAGCAUACCUACCCAUGGAUUGCAAAAGAACAAGAAGGGGCAAAGUAUGAAACUUGAAAAAGAACAAAACAGAAGGGAAGCCAACACACCUACUGUGGAAAAUAAAGAAUGCUCCUCGGGAGUAGUUUCCUCUUCGCCAAAGUAAAAAUGCCAAAAUGCCAGAAAUGAGCCUCAGCCAGCCUUGGUCGCUCCUUUUAUAGGAAGUAAAAAAUAAGUGGUAAAAUUCCCGCCCAUAAAUGAGGAGAAAUGGAAGCCGUACGAUCCUAAUCAGACUGUAGAACAUGGGGAAACAGGCAGCUGCCAGGCGCCAUAAAUGAGAGUUCGUGGAUUCCGAAGCGUUAGGAGCAUGUGAAUGACAGGUGAAGAGACAUUGACUCGUGUGAAUGCAUACGGCACGUAUGUAAUUCAUCUGCGAAGCUAAAACUUCACUUUUGCCUUAGGCGAGAUAGUGAAAGUUUUAGGGGGCUAUUGUGGGUACCUAAGGCCCAAGGAGGAAUGGGAAAAGCCAAGUAUCGGGUCGAGCGUAACACUAGCAGGGGCCCAAAGAAUAGUAGUGCCCGAGGAAUAAGCCAGAUCCAUUGGAGCAUCGCACCAAGCGCCAAAGGAAAAAGAGCAGAGCUAAAGGAGGUGGAGAUCAAUGGCAGAUAGGAAGCUGCCAGGGCAACGGCCCCCUGUCACAUCAAUAUUAAAUGGCGCACACCAGUUCUGUCAGCCGCAUUAAAUGGGGAAAUGACUUGAACAGUGUCGGCCACAGCUACGCCAGCUACCACUACCACUUGCAUCAGAGAGAGAAGGUGACAAGUGUUGGAAGGGGGACGAAAGCCAGGUAGAGAUGGAUGGAGAGGAUGAAAUGGCAACAGGCUAUAUAAAGGGAGGUUUGGGAUUCUACAAGGGGACUUUUUGGGUGGGGGGUGAAGUGAGAAAACAAAGUGGAGAGCUAUUAGGGAGAGUAGUUCAGAGAUUUAGAGUGAGAGAAAACUCGUGAGCAGACUCCAAGCUUGUUGUGCUAUUCCAUCUCUUAUAAAUUUUAUUGGCUUGGACCAAAGUUUAAACUAGAUUGUCCUAUUACACUCGGUGGGCUUUGUAUCACGACCAUUUUGGUCCUUACACUAAUUAUAUAAAUUAUUUUGUAGUCAUAUCUGAUAUAGUUUACUGAUAUAUAUAUAUAUAUAUAUAAUACAUUAACUCCCUUGUGUGUGUGUGUUUGUUUCUCAAAAAAAAAAAUUAUUUGCAGUGCUUUUAUUGUACAUUUAAAAUCCUUUACAACCUAUUUUCUCACGGUUUUUGGGUAACAUGUUGCAAUGACUUUUAAUAUAUUAAACUGGACUUUGGGCUUAAUGGAUGUGUUGAUGAUACAAAAUCACUUUCACCAUUUUUAAAUUUUAAAAUUUUUUUUUGGGUGCUAAUAAACGCUGUUAUAUUAAAGCAACUAAAAGGAAAUAAGGCAAAUCCUCUCAGAGAAUCUGCCCAUACAAUCAAAAUACAACAAAAACUUAAUAUCCGAAGGGGGAACAUCAAAAAGCAUAAAAUCUAGCUGCUGCAAGAAGAUCUACACACUGGUUAGCUUCCCUGAAGCAAUGCUUAAUCUUUACUCUUGGAAUCAUAGUCCCAGUAAGUUCCUGCAAUCUGAAAUGAGAGCAGAAUGAGCAAUGUUCACAAGAGAAGGAUCAGACACCCACUCCACCACAACUUUUGCAUCCAGUUCUACUUCUAUAUUCCUGGCUAUAAUCUAAUUUAGAAGUAUGUUUGAUUUUAAUGGACUUAAUAGAGACAAUAUCUUAUAAGAUAGAAGAUAAACCUUAAUAGGUUGAUCUUCUCAAAAUAGUGUAUAUACCAAAGUUAUGGUUACAAUGAUAGUGAUUCUGUCAUCAUCCAGACCUUUUUGUUAAAAUCAAGCUCCAGUUAUUGUUUGCCUACCAAUGUGAAUGUUUAGUUCCCUAUAAAAAUUUGCCUAGUUUUUUGUGAGAAGUAGUAAGUGAUAGUUCUUAAUGACCAAGCUUUCAAUUAAACCUGGUGACUUGACCAAUAUUAUUGGUGAAAUAUAGGUACUAAGAUAUGUGAAAAGUAUCCAUGCUUUAUAACUAAAUUAAUGAUUAAGGUUCCUAAGUUACGGCUAGUUUAAAUUCCGAUUUGGUCAAUAAACCUGUAUUCUUGCAUAUUUAAGAUAAUUGAAAACCUCCAAUACUUCUUGUCGAUGUCAGAUCCAUAUUUAUCAUGAUAGUAAGACUUAAGGAUAGGCGUUUCAUUAUUUUAUCAAAAAAAUUUGUCUAGGCUUUGCCAAAGCUUAGUACUUGAAUACUUUUAAUAAAUGUUCCAAUUUCAUGUUUGUAUUGCUAAAAUAAAGCAUAAGCAGUGCCUCCUCUGUUUUUAAUAUUUUCUAAUUCCAUGGUGUGUCUUUAUAUGACACUGAUAUUGACAUUAUAAGCAGUCUACCGGACUUUCUCCUCUGCCACAUUAUCACAAGCAUUUUGUCAAGAAGGUGGGGGCCUCUAUAGACUCUCAUCCCAUCUGAGUCCUCUAAUGUCCUGCUGUUGUCAUUGUCAACUUGAAUCAGGGCUCUGCUGUCAACACCAUAAAUUUUCAUCCAUUGCAACAAACCUUGCUUCUUGGUAAGCUCUUGCUGCUUCUGCUGCUGAUACUAUACAUCUUCAAAUUUCUGUACUAUGAGGUAGUCAAGGGGUAGUUGUUUUAGCUAAAAUUCUAUUCUAUUAUGUGUUUUAUGUUCUAUCAAAUUCAGCUGGAAUGAAUAUUUGUGAUAUCACAAUUUGGGAAGUAGGUAGGAGGGAAAGGCUUGUUUCUCAAAACUUCAAUGUUUGGGACAUUCGAGCCUGUUCAAUGGCCUUGGAAGUUUGACAAAUAUCUACAUAGACUAACGUAACUAGUAUAUAAUUUUUUUAAGUUGGAGAAUAUGUGUGCUAGGAAAACUUAUGAGGGUAAUAAUCUCUAUUUCACUAGAUGAUAGGCAUUGUUGGCCAAUAAUUAUGAUUAUAUGUAUACCGUGUGAUGUGUAGUCCUGAUGGUGCUGUUUUUGGUAUGUUACUUUGAGGAGAUUUAUUUAUUGGUUUUUUAUUAUUAAAUUACCAUUUGUCCCAAAAGUUUAAAGUAUUAGGAAAGUGUGAAUUCAAUCAUUUGACCAUUGUUCUAACACUCUCCCUAGUGUGGGUUAAACCAUUGUUCUGAAAUUUAAAACUUUCCAUAUCAAGUGUGUAUAUUCGGAAGACAUAGUGCAGAUAUAUUCCUAUGAUAGUGGUGAUGAUUUGCAAUACCAUCUAUGAUGCCAACUGGUUUGUUUAGCCCCUUUUGUUAAUAAUUGUGUAUUUGCCAUGAAUUUUUUGUUCUCAGAUUGAUGCUCAUCUCGGUAAGGUUAAUGAUCUCACCUUUUCAAAUCAAAACAGAAAACUAUGCAUCAUAACUUGUGGUGGUUUACUUUACUUGGCAUAUUCUUUCAGUAUAAAAACAAUGUUGGACUGCAUUUGUGAAAGUUCAUUUCUGUGCAAGUGUGGAAUGCUGUUGCUGGUAAUAAGCUGUAUACUUUUGAAGGGCAUAAAGCACCAGCUUACUCCAUGUGCCCUCAUAAUAAGGAAAACCUUCAUGUAUGCAGUUGUUUUAUUUGCAAUUUUGCUAGUUGAUAGUUUUUUUUUUUUUUUUUUUACUUUUCAUGAGACUUCUAGGGCCUGUUUCUCAUGCCUCAGCCAGAGUUUUAGGCCCAGGCUAUUAUUCAUAAUUAAGCAGCUUCACCUAAAUAUUCUGGUGCACUUAUUUUAUACCAAGGCUAUGCUUGCAAAAGGGGGCAGGGGGCUCGUGCAUUAAUCAGUACAUUAAUAAGAGCCGAUAGAUUUCUUCAUUGCUUUCGUUUUGUCAAAAAAGCUUUCUUCUUUCCAUCUGAAUUAUUUUCCCUGCUUUCAUUAAUAACCCAUAUGGUUAAUAUAUAUUGCAAUUUUCAUGGUACUAAAAAUGGGAAAUUUGAAGCUUAAUUGUCACACCCUAAGGAUAAAGUUGCCACUUGGUCCCCCCUCUCCUGUUGAGUGGAUUUGGUUUAUUAUUAUUGAGAGUAACAGUGGCAGUGAAGCAGGAUUCAUGGUCUGAGCUGUCAAAUGGGAAAUGCAAAUGUUUACUACUAAUCCAACUGUUUAUUUCCUUCAAAUUUUCACAAUGAUUGGGUGAUUGCUCAUUUUUCUUUUAUUUUGUGAAUCAAAGGCUAUUCAUAUGUGUGACUAGUAAAGGACAACCAUACCUUGUGGAAUUGGGUGAAUGUUAGACAGAUAUCAAGCUUGUAUAUCAUGGUUUUUGGAAGCGGUCUGUGGUGGUUGUGCCAUUUGAUACAAUGAAGAACCGAUUCCUAGCUACUGGAUAUGCGUUCAAAUUAAAAUUUUGGGACAUGGACAAUGGUUACCUCUUGACAAUUACUGCCGCAGAGGGUAGAUAACCGGUAAUGGUCAUGGAAGCCCUUUUCUUGAUAGUAAUUUGAAGAAGCUCUUAUAAUUAAACAAUCUUUAAUUUGAAUAUCCUAUAGGCUACUCCUUGCAUUCAAUUUUACAAGGAAGGGAUACUGCUUGCUGUAUCAACAAGUGAAAAUGGAAUCAAAGUACUUGCAAAUGCUGAAGGUGUAUGGCUUCUGCAUUCUAUUGAAAAUCAAGCUGUUGAUACCUCCAGAGUGGAUCCUGCAACUAUUGCAAAGGUACUACUUUCUUUUAACUUUUAUAGGAACUUCAAAUGUGUACAUGCUUCUUAAUUACAUUGCUCAUUUCUCAGGGAUUGGUAAUUAUCUCCUUUGGUGCUUCCUAUUCAAUUGCUAGAACAAGCACUUGAUAUUAGGCAAAGUCCAUAGAAACACUGAAGUUUUUUAUUUUCCAAAGAAUUUUCUUAUCAAUAUUAUCAGAAGAAUAUUUCAGGAGCUAAAAUUUUUAUUGACUGCCUAUGUUCAGUUGACAUGUCUGAAUCUGGAGGAAAAGAUGCCUUCUGUGGAAGAUCUUGCUUAGGCCUAAAGCAUGUCUGUUAUGUAAAUGUCUUUUGUUGUGCUCUCUAUCAUACGUUUUUUUUUUUUUUUGGUAGUCUGAGAUAUUGUUAGCAAUGGCAUCUAUGUUACAGAUUUCUCAAUCAGUUUUGAGUCUCUCUUAUGUAUCAUUGCAACGGCAUUCUGUGCUUUAAACAAAAAGGGCAAAGUGCUAAAAGUAGCAAUUUGUUGGACUUUUACUUCCCACCAAAAAAAGGGAACGCCCAUGUUACCAAAGAGUUAUAUAACUAUUUUUUCCUAAACACUAAUGCCAAAACCCAAGCCCAAAUCUGUGCAUCCAGGUCCAAUCCCUUUUUAGGUUGCUCAGUCAAAUUUAUUUAGCUUAAAAUUGCAAUCUCAAUUGUGCAUUUAACCUGGGAAAUGAAUGUGCAUAUACCUUAAAUCAAUCACAGAAGGGGGAAAGGCCAGACCCAUAUAUCUUUAUAGUGCUUGCAACCUAAUGGCAGCAGUUUUUAAUCUAAAAAAAUAUUUGGUCUUUAAAUAGAAAAACACACUAAUAGAAGAAGACAUUAACUAAGACAAAAGAUAGAAAAUGAAUAUGAAUAGUCUCACUGGUGUAAGAUUUUUUCCCCCAAGCCCCUAUUUUACACAUGAAGAUUAAAUAAAAGAAAAAAAAAAAAUCUACAAUUAGAAAUACAUUACACUCAAACACACAAAAAAAUUGAUACAUGUUUCAAAUAUUGUAGAAAUCUCCUCUUCAUUUAGAAACUUUGUAAAAGUUACCACUUAAAUGACAUGUUUUAGAGCAAAUAUACCACUCAAAAUAAAUGGGUGGUAAGUGUUGAGACUUGAGAGUUGAGAUUUGAGAUUUGACCUUACAUACUUUUAAAGUUUUUUAGAAAGUAUAAAUGUACUCCCUCAGUCCCAAUUUAUUUGUCCUGUUUGAAAAGUCAAACUUUUUAAGUGAACAUUAUUUAUUAUUUUGUCUGUCUUAUAAAAAUGUAUAAAUUUACAAAAUUACCCUUAAAUAAAUUUAUCAACUUUUUUUUUAAAGAGUUAUUCUUAAUGAGGUAACUAAAAAGGUAGCCCAAUUAGAUUGCUUUUUUAAAUAUUUGUUAGUUUUCUUUUCAAAUAGUUUUGAAAAUAAAAUAGGGGUAUAAUAGAAUAUUAGUAAAUUAAUUAAUUUUAUUUUUAGAAACAGGAUAAUAUUUUAGGACAUCUCAAAAUAGAAUAAAGGACAAACAAACUGAGAAGGAAUGAGUAUAUUUUUGUUGCUGAGAUUAGACGACUAUACAUAUUCUUUUUUUAGGCAAGAGCAAGACCAUAUAUCUUAUUAUUAUUAUUAUUAUUAUUAUUAUUAUUAUUAGGCGAAACUACGAUAUUGAUCCCUCAAGUUUAUCAUGUGUAUGUAAUCGGUCUCCCAAGUUUGAAGCGUGUGCAAUUGGUCCCUCAAAUUUUCAAAAUGAGCAAUAUAAAUCAUUUUACUAAUUGCUAUUAACGGUGUUAUUUAUGUGGCCAACGGACAAUGACUUGACAUUUUAUUUUAAUAACGUGGCAUAUUUUAAUUAAAAAAUUACAAAUUUAAAUUACAGAAACAGAUCCUAGCAUUUUUUUUUUCUUUUUUUUUCUUUUUUUUUUUUUUUGCGUAAACUGGAAUUUUAUUAAAUGUAAACAGAAACACACUUUAAAAAGUCUUACAACACCGCAAACUUCACAACCCAACCGAGCUGAUACAGAUACACAAACUAACAAGACAUAUAUUAACACAACAACUACACAGAACUGCAACAAAAUACAAAAACAGAGUAAACUAAAAUAGCUAAAAAUUUGCAGACACUCCACAAGUUGAAACAAAACCCAUGGAAUCCCAGUAGAGGCAUAGCAGCAAAAAAGCAGGGCAUGUAUCAUAUAGCACUUCGCAGCAUCUUUGCUUCUCUUUUGUUGUUUUAUUUUAUUUUCUCUAAAUGUUUGAUUUGGUUUGUGUUUUGUGGGUGAGGGUUAAACUCAAAUGAGUUUUGUUUUCUGGGUUUGAGAUUCUAUUUUUAUGAAUUUUGUUUUGUUGGUGGGGUUAAAUUCAACUGGGUUUUAUUUUAUUUGAAACAAGAAGACCACCAAAACAGCAAAACAGUAAACACCAAAAAAAAAAAAAAAAAAUGAAGAAGAAGACCUUAGACCACCAGUGUGUGGGUUCGUGCAAGAAAGAUAGGAAAUAAAAAGAAAAAGAAGAAAGAAGAAGAAGACAAUCAGUGGGUUUCGUGCAAGAGCUGAAAAAAAGAAAAAGAAAAAAGUCAUUUAGAAGAGAAGAAGAAGUUGUCUGUGUUCACAUCAGUGGGUCCCACAAAUUUUGAUAUAUUUACAAUUGGUAGAAAAAAACAAAAAAGAAGAGUUUUUUUAAUUUGGUACCGUUGUAAAAAAAAGUUUCUUAGGUGUACUUUUAAUUUGUAAUUUUUUAAUUAAAAUAUGUCACAUCACUAAAAUAAAAUAUCAAGUGGUUGUCCGUUAGCUACAUAAGUAACAUUGUUAAUAACAAUUAGUAAAAAGACUUAUAUUGCUCAUUUUACAAACUUAAGAGACCAAUUACGCACACUUCAAACUUGAAUGACCAAUUGCGCACACAGAUUAAACUUAAGGACCAAUAUUGUAGUUUUGCCUUCUUAUUAUUAUUAUUAUUAGUCGUAGUAGUAGUAGACUUUAUAUCUUCCUUGAUUGUUUCCUUACUUGCAAACAAAGAAAAGGCAGGAAAAUUUGUUUGAAAAAAGGGCUUUUGACAUUGAUGACCGCAUGGCCAAAUAGGAGCAUAAUAAUAUUAAAUGCCAGCUUUUAUUUUUAACAUAAAAAUAAAACAUUUUAAUAAUAUAAUUAAAAUUAAACAAUACAAAAUAACAAAUAGAAGAUGUCAAUCCACUGCUAAACCAGGUAAGACCUGAACCAAAGCCAAAAUGGAUAGCUCCACCACCAAAUACAUACAAGAUAAAUUAUGAUAGAGCGGUUUCAGAUGAGGAGAAUAAAGCAGGGGUUGGAGUGGUAAUUAGGGACUGUAAUGGAGAGGUAAUUGCUUCCUUAAUUCAGCAAUUGGAUCAAGCAUAUCAGCCUGUGGAAGUGGAGGCAAUUGCUGCGUGUAGAGCAAUGGAGUUUGGUAGCGAAUUGGGAGUGGGUUAUGCUAUUGUGGAGGGUGAUUCAAAGGUGAUUGUUAAGACUUUGAGGAACAAGGAUAAUGGUUUAACUUCUUUUGCACCUUUGAUAAAUGAUAUCUCUUUAUUUUCAAGUUUGUUUUCAGAAUUGUCAUACUCUCACAUUAUGAGAGAUAGCAACAAAGUUGCUCAUAGUUUAGCUAGGCUAGCUUUGACCACACACGAUUGUACCGUGUGGAUGAAGGAUGUUCUGUUUUGCACCUUACGUUUUGUUCAGGCUGAUUUGGCCGCGCUUUAAUUUUAUUUAAUGAACUGUCUUUUUUCUCCAAAAAAAAAUAACAAAUAGAAAUAAAUAACUAUAAUUACUUCAUGUUAUAUUGUCAAAACAAUUAUCUAAAAAAGUUAUACUGUGAAAACAAAUUAAAGUUUUAUUAUAUAGGAUGUGACAUUAAUAUAAAUGAUUAUAGACAAAAAUAAAAAUUAUACCUUUUAAUUCGGGCAAUUGUUAUUUUCAUCAUAUUAAUUUGAGAAGAACAUAAUUAUACAUCUUAAUAAAUAAAAUAAAAUGAGAGAGAAGUUUGGGAUGAAAAAAGUUGUGGCCUUAAUAGACAAUAGUCCUCAUCCACGAGAAUAUGGAAAGUGAGAAGCAAGUGGCUAAUGUUACAUGUUACAUGCGUUAACUUUCAAGAGCUCUCUCUCUCUCUCUCUCUCCACCUUAGAGACACCUAUAAUGGCUUGGGCUCUAUUCUCUCCAUCUCUCAACCUCUCACUCCCUCACACCACCAAGACCAACUUCAACAGAACACAGAGGUUCACCACUAAAACAAGUAGAGCAGCAACAACAACAAGAACAACCAGUAUCAGAGCCAAUGCUGCUGACCAAAAACAACCCAACGACAAAGACGAAGACACUACUUCUGGUUUCAGUCCCUUUGCCUUUGUAACCGAUAACCCAUCAAGCCGCGAAGCCAUUCAGCUUCCAGAGAGCCCUGCUGAAGAUGGCAAUGUCGGGGAAAUGCUUUAUGUAUGUGUUCUUACUCUCACUCACCAUUUUCUUCAGCUGGGUAUCUCUCAAACACUGUUAUCGCUUAUUAUAUAUAUAGUUUCAAUCAUUUAUAUUCAUGGGAAUUUUUACUUUUUAUUAGAGGGUAUGUUUGUUCAGUUCAUGUUGUUGGGUUGGCUACUCAUUUUUAUUCUUUUUAUCAGUUAGCAAAUUCUUAAAAUUAAGGACCUUGUGGACUUUAAUUAGGAUUUAGAGAUUUUUAUUCUAUUUUUAUUUUUGAAUUCAUGAAAUUUUGUACUUAAACUCAACCUCUCAAUUGAUAUUGUUCAGAUUCUUGCUUAUUGGUAUCAUCCUUGAUGAUUGUGUGGUUAAAAUUAAGUGUUAUUGUUAUAUUUUGCUUUCUUCCAGGAAUUUAUUCUUUUCUAAUUCACCAAAUUCUAGAUCCAAUUCUUCAGUUCUCUAAAAAUUCAAUCAAUAUUCCCAAUAUUUGGGCAAAACUAGUUAUAGAAAUUGACUAUUUCUCAAUCUUCAUAUGGGUUACUCAUUUUAUUCUACCAAAUGUUGUUAAAUGCUGUAACUGUCUAAUCAAUAGUCCCAAAGAUUUGGCUGCCCUGUGAAAGAAUGACUGAAUUCAAUCAGCCCUUUCUUGUAAAUGAGGGAAUGGCCAAAACCACGCUUAGAGAUACAGGUGACUUUCUUGUGGUAGUAAUUGUGGAUGUGCAAGUAAGGGGCAGCAACUAAAUAGGUAGCGAGACUGCCCUUAAUUAAAAGCUUAUAUCUUCGAAUUCCUUUAGAAUGAAGUAGCUAUGAAGCCUCUACUAUGUACUUUGUUUGAUUGAAAAGGCCCCAUAUGUGUAACACUUCAUGUAGCUUCCUGUUUGAGCUAUUUAUUUGAUGAGCACCAUUGGUUACACACGUGUUUAUACACGUGUUUUAUAACUAAAACACAUGAUUUCAUGUUUGAAAUCAUGGCUUAAACCCAUGUUUUUAGUUACAAAACACGCGUAUACACACUGUGUAAUAAGUUUUAGCCUUAUUUGAUAUGGGUGAAAUUUUCUGAUUGACCUCUAACUCAAUUAUGUUGAUUAAGGUUUGGAAGUUGGUUUAACUUGCAUUCAUUGGUUUGCUACUUGCAUACAAUUUUCUUUUUCAUUGACAAUCUCAAUGAAACACCAUAAAUGUGUUGGAUGGAUAUUGUAUUUAGUUAGGGCAUCAGUCAAUUGAAUUAAGUUCUUAUUUUCUUUUUCCAUUUUGGUGCCUUUGGUAAACUUUUAAUGCUGUCUGGUUUGUGAUUUGUUGAAAGGUUUUGAAUACAUGUCAUAUCCAUUGGUAUCAUACAACUUUCUUGUUUUCCAAUUCUAGAGGAUAGAAGACAAAGGAAAGGAAUACGGCUCAUACAUCAAAUCUGGAGAGUUUAUAUGGUUUGUAAGAGAAACUGGUAAAUUUCUCUGCAGCAACAUUAGUUUCUUUUAUUUAUCAACUUGGAUUUAUGAAAAGUUGAUUCCAUUCUUGCAGGUUCUGCUGAGAGCCGACGUGGAACAAUUGUUUUCCUUCACGGGGCUCCAACACAAUCUUACAGCUAUCGAGUUGUUAUGUCUGAGGUUGUAAGGCUGAAUUUUCUUUUAGAUCUUACAGUAUACCUCUAUUUUAUAAAUUAUUUACUAUAAGUUUCCUUCUCUUGUUUACACAUACAGUUCUUCCAUAAACAUAUAAAUUCUUAUAUUAUGGUUUAAGAAAGAAUAUUAAAGUCUGACACAAACUUAUGAUCUAGAACAUGGCUUGCUGAAUACUCAAAAGCUGGUAAACUAUUGCCAGUAAACCAGCAAGGCAGGCUCCACCAAGUUUAUUUUUCCUGGUUUACUUUUCUUAGUUGUCUUGUAAUAGCAGCUCAAGCAAAUAUAGUUAAGGACCUUAAGGUUAUCUAAACUUUUGUCUUUAGAACAUCUACAUGCCUUCAGAUGUUUCUAUAAGAUGUUGCUAUUAACCACAUCUUGAAUAUGCCAUCUUCCUAUCCUUUCAGUUUGUCCAUCCAUUUAUUGUGAUUUUUUUUCUACUCUUAUCUGCCCUCAAGUGACUUCAUGCUAAAUGAUGUUUAACUUUGCUAUCAUCUUGUCUAGAUGUCAGAUUAUGGGUUCCACUGUUUUGCGCCUGAUUGGAUAGGAUUUGGUUUUAGUGACAAGCCACAGCCAGGAUAUGGUUUUGAUUACACAGGUUUCUAUAUUUCAUUAAUAAGAUCAUUACCAUAUAAUAUCUGUCUUGCUCUAUAAUGGUCAUGAUUAUAAAUGUUUUACGUUUCCACUGUUACAGAAAAGGAGUUCCAUGAGGAAUUUGAUAAAUUACUUGAUGUGCUGGGGGUCAAAUCUCCUUUUUUCCUCGUUGUUCAGGUUUGAAAAAUCUUGCAAAGGAAAAUCCAUAGGAAUGGUAUUUAUGAUGAACUGUAAACAUUAUAUUAUUUAUUUUAUAGAACGUACAAAGGUAUCCUAAAUUUUCAGAGGAAUAUGCUGCUGGGGAAGACUUAGUAAACAUCUAGUCAAGUCAUGACUACAAUGAUCUUAUGGUUUCCUUUGCAAUUAAAUUUUUCAUCUAAUGUGUUCUCUCACGUUCUCCAUGAAGGGGUUUCUUGUAGGUUCAUUUGGAUUAACAUGGGCCUUGAAGAACCCUAGCAAGAUUUUGAAGCUCGCAAUUUUAAACAGUCCGUUGACAGUUUCAUCUCCUAUCCCUGGACUGUUUCAAAAGCUAAGGUUCAGUUAUUAUAUUAACCAUCAGUGGGAUACUUAUAUUUCACUCAUCAUCUUGCUGACAGAAUUAGCUAUGUGAAUUGCUUAUAUUUGAUUCAUAGUCUUGCUGCUUAUACGUGCUUCGCUCUUCAUUAUGGCUACCUUCACGGUCAUGAAAAAGUGCAGGCUUAAGCUCUUUACUGCUAAUAUAAAUAGGAAAAUUACCAUGAAAAUAUAUAUAAUCUGUUCUAGACCUUUUGGUUUAAUCAAUUUGUCCUUAAAACUUUGGCCUGGUGAAAUCACUGCAUGACAAUUGGGACCAUGUCCUGCAUAAAGGUAGCAUUACUUAGCGCCCUAAUGAAGUAAUUAGGUCACCUGGACUGCUAAUAUGUCUCAAAUGUCAAGCAUUAAAAAUUGCAUCCUUUCUAUCUUUUUCUAUAAUUCCAUUGUUACGUCAGCCGCCUAAGUUUCUUUCUUGUCCUUCAGCUCUAUGUUUAUCCAUUUGUUUUGGUACUCUUCAUGUUCAUGUUCCCUUAAUAUAGAAUCCUAGCAUGUGGUUGUACUAACGUAUAAUAAUUAUAUAUGUCAUGCCUGGAAUUUUUUCAAAAAAGAAAAAGUUAUUUCAUAAAUUAAUGUAUAUUCUUCAAACUUUUGCUUCGAUAAUUAUGUUGUAUUGGCAAAUACUAUAAAGGUAGUUUAUAAGUCAUGUGCCUUAAAAUGUCUUGGGAGUAUUGAUUGAUAUAUGACGUGGUUGACUAUAGACCAUUUUUGGUGUUGAUAUCUGACAGUUUUUUUUCCUGUUAUGUAAUAAUGAGCAUCAGACUGAAGCUCUGCUUCUACUCCUUUUUUUUCAUCCAUUGUAACUUAUCAAUAAAAUUACAGUUUCUUAAUUUUUUUUUUUCUUAAUUACAUGUUCUCAUUCCCACUUCCUUUUUUUUCUUUCUAGAAUCCCUCUUUAUGGUGAAUUUACAUGCCAGAAUGCUAUUAUGGCUGAGCGCUUUAUUGAAGCAGGUAGCCCGUACGUAUCCAAAGUGUAUCCAGUUCUUUGAGAUACUACUUAACUUCUGAUUCCUGUCGGUAAUAUCUUCUGUUUCAUAUAUGCUAGGGGUUUUAUAUUAGAGCUUCAGUAAAGUUUUUUAGUUGAUCUAUUUUUUAAUUUCAUAUAUGAACUUCUGUGCAGUAUGUUUGAGCUGGACUACCUAGUCUGGAAUCUAGUCCACCCUUGUUUAAUUUUGUGUAUUGCUUCCUUCUGUAUUUAAGACUGAAACAGACUUGCAUGUAUUAGAAAAAAUGAGAGUACCCAUCAGGAACAGUGUAUCACAUCACUUACAGGUUUUUUUAGUAGUUAAAAAGAAUAGUUAUCAAAACCAUACCGGAGGUUAACUUGGCUGAAAAAUUGGUUCACUGGUUCAACCAAUGGUUCAUUGGUUAAAUUUGUAGAUUUAUUAAUUAAUUAAAUAUAUAUUUUGUAAUUUUUUAAGCAACUAAAAUGAAAUAAACAUACUCUAUUUAGGUAAAUUAAUAAAUUAUAACAAUAAAAAAUUACAUCAUAUGACAUAAAGUUAGAGAGUAUAAAAAAAAAUAAAUAAAUAAACACGCCAUUCACAUAAAUCAUCUAAUAACCAAGUUAUAUAGUCCAAAAGUCUUGAAACAACAUAUCUCAUUAAAAUUCAAAAUAAAUUUUUAGCUUAAUCAUUAAACCCUAGAGCUUAACAAAAUUAUUUAAAUCUCCAAAUACAACUCAUGACUUCAAAGUCCAGUGUCUUCAUUGUCUUUUUGAGUUUUUUCACAAAUACACAUGGUAUUUUUUUUUUUUUCUUUUUUCCACAGGUUAAAAAGAUUAACCUGUGCAAUCCAUCAGUUUACACGGUUUGAUAAUGGGUUAUUGCAUAUCCAGUAUUUUAUACCAAACCAUUCCGGAUAAUGCUUUGGUUCACGGGUUUCACGGUUUAACCAGUGGUUUGGUACGAAUUUAAUUUUAUUAAUGUUCUAGGACCCGAAACUUCCUAAGCAUUUCACUUACUUUUGUAUAAUGCUUUUAGAGUCCAGAAGAAGAGGAGCGUAUGUUGAUAAAUGGUAAUAUCAUGCAUUGAAUUCCCCAAGGUUUGUUUAUUAUCCCAAAAUGAAAUUAGGAAAGAAGUGUGUAUACAAUUUCAAAUGGAACAUGUAAAUAUAAUGUUUGUCAAAAGUCAUAUGCUUUCACAAGCUCUUAGGGUUUCUAGAUUCAAAGAACAGAAGAAUAUGCCAGCAUGCUAUUGAAAUGAACUUUUCUCAUAGUGCAAAAUGUAGUCAUUCAUGUGUAUCCUGCCUACUAUUCAACUAAGUGAGUAAGAAUACCUCAUUUUUCAUUUGGAGAACUGUAGAUUUCAUAGUAACAAUAUUAGUAAAUCCCAUGUUGAGUGUUUGAAACAGACAAAAAUUAAGCCUCAAAAUUUAGUGAGUGGUCCUUUUCUGAUAUCAAAGAAAAGCUCACUGCUACUAAUAAAUUAACCAGAGAAACAGGAUGCUGAUUUUGGAGACAUCACUUACCGUUGAACUUGCUACCUAAAACAAUGAGAGAGAGAGAGACAGAGAAGAUCUAACUAAUGUGUAAUGUUAAGGACGUUACAGUCCUGAUUUUUACAGGAUACAGGUCUUGUUAGAUUUAUUGUUUGGGCACAUUUGACAUUUAUUUUGGGCUUAGACAUUGAUACCUGUGCCUACUUCACAGGUAAUAUGAUCCUGGCCCACUGGAUUAAUAGCUUUAGUUAGAUACCUACAAUCUCAUCUCUGAAAGCUAAAACUGAUUAUGGAAAAAUCUGUUGUCACUAGCAUCCUAAUAUAGAAAAGCUAUUAGUAUCAAUGGUAAAUUUUCCAUUUAUUAUUAUAAGCACCUAAACACACACUCAAAAGCACUUGAUUCUAGCUAUUAGGUAUCCUGUUCAAUUUUUUAAGAAAAAGUAAUAGUCUUCAAGUGAAGCUAUUUGCAUAUGUGUGCAAGCUGCAGUAGAAAUUGCAUACCAGGCAUUGUUUAUGUAAGUAGUGGAAGUAUUAUUUGAAAUUACAGUUAAUUUGUUUCCUAAUAUGCUAUCAAAAUAAAAUACCAACAUUAUUCUUAAGAAGCUAUUAGUCAUCCCUUAAGUUAUAUGCUUAGCAUGUAACAUUUAUGUUAUAGAAUAAGAACUGAUACUUGUGCGUUUAUUGCUCUUACAAAAGAAUCUAUGCUUCUGGCAGUUAUGUCUUGAAGCUGGAAAAGGCUGAUGUGUAUCGGUUACCAUAUUUGUCAAGUGGUGGACCUGGGUUUGGUGAGUGGUACACUUAUGCUUUUGAAAAUAUUUGACCCCUGAAAAUUGUAGUUAUUUAAGUUUUCUUUGCCAGUGUUAUUUAAGUUUUCUAUGUUGGUGUUUCAGCUCUGCUUGAAGCUGCAAGAAAGGUUAAUUUUAGAGAUAUCUUAAGCCAAAUAGCAGAAGGCUUUGCAUCUGGAAGGUAUAAUUUUUUUCUUUUUCUCCCUGUGGGAUGUGAACAUUUUUAUGCGUUGGUUCAUCUUUAUAUGUUUAUGGCACAAGUUCUUAUGCUUUAAGGUAAAAGAAAGUGAUGCAUGUUCUGAAAUGUAAUUUCUAGUUCAAUACUCUCUUAGACAAAAGAACUAGAAACUCUCUCUUUAUUUUUCUUCUUUUUCCUACAAUAUUUUAGAUCCAUAUUUUAACCUUUUUUCUUGAGCCAAUGAUUGCAUUCUAAUGCUUAACACGAUUAAAAUUUGAUUAAUAUGAUAUGAUGUAAUACUGACACCUGAAUUAAAUGAAAUGUUGUUGAGCUAGAGAAGAGCAAUCAAUCUCUGCAAUUAAAUGGUCUAAUAAGUACUAAGCUGCUGGUUCAGCUUUUAGUAAUUCUUUUAUGUAUCUUAUAUGAUAGAAAACUACAUGCCCAACACUUGAUUUCUAAAUGCCCAGAGUUGUCAUCAAUUAACAUUCAAUUGGUUGCAAAAAGGAGAUAGCAUCUUUUUCUAUUUUAUCUUUUCCCAGGUUCCUGCAAGUACAAAAGAGGCACAAGACAAGUACUCAAAGAAGUAUAGAAAGGGGAUCACCAUAAAAUAAAGAUGAUACAUAAAAAGGAAAGUAAAGAAUAGAAUCAAAUUCUGAAUUUUAGAGCAUCAGUAGAACCAAAAAGAACUCAAAGAAGCUAGUAGAGGAUGCCCAUUUUUACCCUGCGCUUAAAUGACUUCAGACCAUUUUAGUAUUUAGAAACUGCAUAUUAAUAAUCUCCCCUUGUGCUUAAAUGCCCUUCUUUUUCCUUUAUAACCCAAUACUCCAUAUCAACAUCAAACAAGUAGACAUUGUUCCAUGAGCAAACUGCUUCAGCUCCAAGCUUAAGUGCCUGCCUUUUGGUCAAACUGAUGUUCAUGAGUCUUGCAUUCUAGUUCUUGAUUCUUGUAUGCACAAGAGAUUCAAUAUGUCCUUUCUUAUUCAAUGAUAGACAAUUCUAUAACUUUUUAUGGGUGACUUAAUGGUAGAAAAUUUCCUCAUUUUCUGUCCCCUGCACGAUGCUAAAUCUUUUUAAAUUUUCAUUUGAAGAUGAGUUAUGAUGCGUCUGAAACUUAGUUAUUUAGUCUAGUAGGCAUCUUAAGUUAUGCUUCAUACCUUUGCAAGCUUGACUAAAAUAAAACUGGGGUUUGACUUCAAUGCAGUAGUGUGUCAACUAUACAAACUGAUGCCAAGAACAAUUGUGGUACAUGCAUAUGCAAUGUUGUAGUUACCUUAUCACACCCAUGGCUAUAUUCAAUAGCAAUUGUGGAUGGUCUUAUAAAGUUGACAAUGGUCAUAUUUCCGUAGUUCAAAUAAAUGUAGUUGUGUAUUUUACAAACUCUGUUUGUGUUACUAAUAUGGUGUUCAACUUUCUGCUGACCAAUUGUGAAUUAACGGAUUCUGGACUUAUAGAUGGGAUAAACCGAUACUGCUAGUUUGGGGAAUAUCAGACAAGUAUCUGCCUCAAUCUAUUGCAGAAGAGUUUCAGGAAGGAAAUCCAACUGCCAUUAAGCUUAAGUUAAUAGAAGGUGCUGGUCAUAUGCCACAAGAGGACUGGUAAGGAUUUUAGUUAUAGAUUAAUGAGCAUUACAAGUUCAUCCUUUUUAACAAAAUCUUGAAAUUUAUCUCAUUUUAACAGGCCCGAGAAAGUUAUAGAAGCUUUGAGAGUAUAUUUCUAA